rnacentral:lncRNA from 1 species
UUCUCUUUACAGUGACAAAGCCCUGAAGAGUCUGCAAAUGGGUCAGCAUCUUUAAGUCAGAGCUAUAACCCUGAGCUUUGGCUCAGACCUGAUGGCUUGAGCCUGCUGAUGUCCAGGCUUCUGGAAAUCCAGUGCCCAUAGAUGUGGACUAAGGAAGAGCCCCGACCAUGGUCACUCUCAUCACGGAGAAGCUGCAGAACCAGAGUUUGGAUGACCUUACCCGAAGGGCCUGUGAGGCUGUCCCGUAUUCUGCUGAGAAACUGGACAAAAGUGGCCAUUUGUUCCCUUUGGAGAUUGGCGGUAAGUGUCUCAGAAGCCCAGGGAGGGUCUUACAAGGCUGGAGUGGCAGAUGAUGGAGCACGGUGUCAUUGGGCCUCUGGCCAGGGGGUCUUGGAGCUGGACUGAGUGAGAUAGU